rnacentral:lncRNA from 1 species
CACUACUUGCAAAUUCGCAAUUACUAUUAGGAAAUUAGCAAAUUAAUAUAAUGAUACGAAUAAUAAUGAAAUUUUCUAUUUCAGGGAAUGGAGAUGUUGAUUCAAAGAGGCCGCCAACAAUUGCAACUAUCAGAUGAUGAUGAAUUCAACCUAUAUUAUCUUUCAAAUGGUGAUCCGAAAUGGAAGACAAAUGUUUUUUCACCAAUCGGAGCGAAUUGAAAGGGUACUUGUACAAUUACAUAGUAUCACACAGGGCCCGACAAUUUCUUCGAUUCUGCUGACAUCACUGAUACUACGCGGCACAAAGCAAAAAAGAAUAGAACCCCGCAUGCAAGAGGCGAGUGCUGGCCUACUAGCAUUCACACCACGGAAGACGAGGCAAUUUGCCUACAUCCGUCGCCAUCCACAAGUAACGCCCCCGAAGGAUUUGUAUCACGAGCAGAAUUUGAGAAAUUGCAGGCUCAGUUAGCGGCACUCAAGAAGGAGGAUGCAAAGGAUGGAACUAAUGAUGUAAAGCUCCGUCCGUAAUAUAGUAUCUAGACAAGGAGAGCCAGGACCCCCUAAAAGUAAGAAGGGCGCUGUUACAAUGAAGGCUAAAAAGAGGGCUAAAGAGGAAUGUGAACCUAUAGGUAAUUCUUAAUAUUUUAAUAAAAUAAAAAUUGUAUUCACCAACAACUUCAUUGUUUCGGUAAUAAUAAGUUGAAAAUUUUACAUGUGGAACCCCAAUUCGAAUGACAGACUUGAAAUAAACACAAGAAAUAUCUUCGAAUCUUGCAUAUUAUUAGGCUCGAAAAUGAAGGCUGCUUAAUUGAGUAUUCUCACCUAUACAUUACGUAUUCUUAAACUUCUCUUUAUAGUAUUGUGAAUCAGGUGAUUACAAUCCAUUCUACUGUUCCUUACCCAAGAUACAUAUAUAUCCUUGUAAAUUAUUUUAUCUCUAAAAUGGUGUCUGAAACUUUGGAAAUUCAGGUAUUGGUUUGUCUCCACGAAAUCCUUCUUGUCAUACCAUAUUGUUUUAAGAGGAAUCCCGGAAAGAUUAUUUUAUCUCUAAAAUGGUGUCUGAAAUUUUGGAAAUUCAGGUAUUGGUUUGUUUCCACGAAAGCCUUCUUAUCAUACGAUAUUGUUUUAAGAGGAAUCCCGGAAAGGUGUUAAAGAAGGAAUACAUCGUAAGAUGCUCUUAUCGUUAGAUAAGUGAUUCUUAAACUUUUCUUAGAAAUAAUGUGGAUCAGGUUUUUAGCAUGCAUUUUACUACUUCAUAUAGUAAUUUGUUUAUGACUCAAGAUUCAGUAUUACAGAUUGAGACAGUAGAUCAGAAUCCAAUGAUUUGUGCCAUAUUACGACUACGGACUAUGGGAAAUAAUCUCUUCCUUCUCUUACUUUUAAACGGAAUUUACUCGGUUAAAAAACAUUUUUAAUUGUAUAAUUGUUUAGAAGAAAAUGACCUGCUUAUCAAUGUAACUUUCUUCAUUAGUUAUUAUACAUUUUGAGUUAAUUAGUAACUCUGCCUGAAGGCUUCAUUAUGAUUUUGUCAAACAAUUAAAUUCGGCUCUUAAUAGGCACGCAAAUAGUAAUGAUUAAUCGGCAAAAAGUAAUUGCAAAUUAGCAAAAGUUUUUACUUACCUGUUUGUAGUAUUAUACAAUAAGGUAUACUUCCUUUUUAUUACAUUAACUAACUGCAAUAAUACAGAGCUUCUUGAUAACAGAUAAUAUUGGUAUAAGGUAUUAAUUACAUGGCGUUUUAUCAUUUCAGCUCCGUCGGUAAUAGAAUCCCCACAAGGACAGCCUGGACCCCCUAAAAGUAAGAAGGGCGCUGUUGCAAUGAAGGCUAAAAAGAAGGCUAAAGAGGAAUGUGAACCAAUAGGUAAUUCCUAACAUUUUUAAUCAAAUAAAAACUGAAUUCUCCAACAACUUCAUUGUUUCGGUAAAAAUAAGUUGAAAACUUUAGAAGUGAAACCGCAAUUCGGAUGACAGACUUGAAAUUAACACAAGAAAUAUCUUCGAAGCUUGCAUAUUAUUAGGCUCGAAAAUGAAGGCUCGUUUAAUUGAGUAUUUUCACCUAUACAUUACGUAUUCUUAAACUUCUCUUAAUAGUAUUGUGAAUCAGGUGUUUACAAUCCAUUCUAAUGUUCCAAACCCAAGAUACAUAUAUAUCCUUGUAAAUUAUUUUAACUCUAAAAUGGUGUCUGAAACUUUGGAAAUUCACGGAUUGGUUUGUCUCCACGAAAUCCUUCUUAUCUAUACAUAUUGUUUUAAGAGGAAUCCCGGAAAGGUUGUAAAAAAGGAGUGCAUCGUACGAUGCUCUUUCCUUUAAAUAAGACAUUCGUAAACUUUUCUUAAAAAUAAUGUGGAUCAGGAUUUUAGCAUCCAUUUACUAUUUCAUACAGUAAUUUGUUUAUGACUCAAGAAUUCAGUAUUAAAGGUUAAGACAGUGGAACAAAAUCCAUGAUUUGUGCCAUAUUACCACCACGGACUAUGGGAAAUAAUCUUUUCCUCCUCUUACUCUAAAACGGAAUUUACUCGGUUAAAAAAGAUGUUUACUUGUAUAAUUGUUUAGAAGAAAAUGACCUCCUCAUCAAUGUAACUUUCUUCAUUAGUAAUUAUACUUAUUGAGUUAAUUAGUAACUUUGCCUAGGGCUUCAUUAUGAUUAUAGCAAAAUAUCAAUACAGCUUUUAAUAGGCAUGCAAAUAGUAAUGGCAAAUAAGCAAAAAGUAAUUGCAAAUUAGCAAAAAGUUUUUACCUACUGAUUGUAGUAUUAGUAUAAUAACGUAUACUUCCUUUUUAUUACAUUAACUAACUGCAAUAAAACAGAGUUAUUUGAUAACAGAUAAUAUUGGUAUAAGGUAUUAAUUACAUGGCGUUUUAACAUUUCAGCUCCGUCCGUGAUAGAAUCUACAAAAGGAGAGCCUGGACCUCCUAAAAGUAAGAAGGGCGCUGUUGCAAUGAAGGCUAAAAAGAAGGCUAAAGAGGAAUGUGAACCAAUAAGUAAUUCCUAUGUUUUUUCUCAAAGAAAAAUUGAAUUCACCAUCAACUUCAUUGUUUCGGUAAUAAUAAGUUGAAAACUUUGGAAGCGGAACCACAAUUUGGAUGACAGACUGGAAAUAAACACAAGAAAUAUCUUCGAAUCUUGCUGUCACGUUUUAAGGAUUUCUCGAGUUUUUAGACCGACUGAAAAAGUCUAAAGAUCCUUAACGCGGCGGAGAUCGUGGGAGAGCGAAAUUAAAAGAGAUGUGGUUUAGCGGGUGACGUAUAGAUUCGCGUGUAUUGUAAAAUCAAUGAAAUCGUUACGAAGUUGGUGACGGAUACUCGGAGCACUGAAAGGAGGGCUGUGCUAGUUGGAAAAAUCGAAGUACUCGGCUUCGUGGUGGAAAUCGAAGUCCCGAGCCUCCUCUGUCCAAAGAGGAGCUCAGUGCCGAGAGAGUCUUAUCUUUCAAUCCAUCUCGUGACGCUGGCAAUCAAAAAAACAUGAUAAAGAUAGAUGCGUACGACUGAUCACAGCAACGAGUAAGUGAAGCUUGCUCGAUGCUGGGUUCUGAAAAUUCAUAGAGAGAGACCGAAAAUAUGGGAGAAAGGGAGAUAGAGAAUCUCUAUGAAUAAACGCGUUGCGGUAUACACGCGACAUCCCCCUCGCCGAUGAGAAAUCGCUUCUGCGAUUUCAACAUGGAAGGUGAAUGCAGGAAAAAAAGAAAGUACAAAAAAAUAAAAUAAAGAAAGGUAAGAAAGGUAGGGACAUAAAAAAAAAAAAAUGGGGUCUAGUGAUCAGUCAGGUAGGAUUGAAAGAUUCAACUGUACAGAAAAUUAUUUAAAAUCAUUGUAGAAAAGUCCUUAGUAUCCAGGAUUUGUCGAUUGUCGAUUUCAUCUCAAAGGGUGCGUCCCUAAUAGCACAGUGACACAAUGGAAUGUUUUUAAAAUGUUUCAAAUUAUUUCAAUCUCGGAUCAAUCAUUGACACGUUUCCAACACAUUUUCAAAACGAAUACAUGAAACGGGCAAGUUAACCGUGUCUUUGAAACAUAUUGAAAACAUAUCGAAAAUGUUUUAAAUUGUGGUCAUUCAAACUUUUUUAAAAUGUGUUAGAAACGUUUCAAACUUAUUUCAAAAAAGCAUAAAAACCAUCUUCAAAAAAACGUAUAAUACUUGUGUCAGAUAUGUGUUGUAGAUAUAUUGCAUUCCGUUCAAUAAACUGUAUCAGAAAGGUUUCAAAAACAUUUCAAUUCCAUUGCCACAGGUAAGCCUAUGAUUGAAACAUAUUUACGGAACAUUUCUGCCACAAUUUAUAUGAAAAUCAAUGAACCUUUAUUGACACCAAUCAGAAACAAUUUGUAAUAGUGUCAAUUUUUUUUUUAUCGACCCAAGCACAGAUUCAUAUUAGAUUUGUGUACGAUAUGUUGUGAAAGGAGAUCAACUAAAUAUUUUGGAAA